AAUUCCAUCGCGCAGCCUGAUCCAGCAUGCCGCGUGGGUGAGAAGGUUUUCGGAUUGUAAAGCCCUUUUGGCGGGGACGAUGAUGACGGUACCCGCAGAAUAAGCUCCGGCUAACUUCGUGCCAGCAGCCGCGGUAAUACGAAGGGGGCUAGCGUUGCUCGGAAUGACUGGGCGUAAAGGGCGCGUAGGCGGACUGCACAGUCAGGCGUGAAAUUCCUGGGCUUAACCUGGGGACUGCGUCUGAGACGUGUGAUCUAGAGUGAGGAAGAGGGUCGUGGAAUUUCCAGUGUAGAGGUGAAAUUCGUAGAUAUUGGAAAGAACACCGGUGGCGAAGGCGGCGACCUGGUCCUUUACUGACGCUGAGGCGCGAAAGCGUGGGGAGCAAACAGGAUUAGAUACCCUGGUAGUCCACGCUGUAAACGAUGUGUGCUUGAUGUUGGGGUGCUUAGCACUUCAGUGUCGGAGCUAACGCGGUAAGCACACCGCCUGGGGAGUACGGCCGCAAGGUUGAAACUCAAAUGAAUUGACGCCGU
rnacentral:rRNA from 1 species